GCUUGUUGGUGAGGUAAUGGCUCACCAAGGCGACGACGGGUAGCCGGCCUGAGAGGGUGACCGGCCACACUGGGACUGAGACACGGCCCAGACUCCUACGGGAGGCAGCAGUGGGGAAUAUUGCACAAUGGGCGAAAGCCUGAUGCAGCGACGCCGCGUGAGGGAUGACGGCCUUCGGGUUGUAAACCUCUUUCAGUAGGGAACAAGGCUACACGUUGUGUGGUUGAGGGUACUUGCAGAAGAAGCACCGGCUAACUACGUGCCAGCAGCCGCGGUAAUACGUAGGGUGCAAGCGUUAUCCGGAAUUAUUGGGCGUAAAGAGCUCGUAGGCGGUUUGUCGCGUCUGCCGUGAAAGUCCGGGGCUCAACCCCGGAUCUGCGGUGGGUACGGGCAGACUAGAGUGAUGUAGGGGAGACUGGAAUUCCUGGUGUAGCGGUGAAAUGCGCAGAUAUCAGGAGGAACACCGAUGGCGAAGGCAGGUCUCUGGGCAUUAACUGACGCUGAGGAGCGAAAGCAUGGGGAGCGAACAGGAUUAGAUACCCUGGUAGUCCAUGCCGUAAACGUUGGGCACUAGGUGUGGGGGACAUUCCACGUUUUUCCGCGCCGUAGCUAACGCAUUAAGUGCCCCGCCUGGGUGAGUACGGCCGCAAGGCUAAAACUCAAAGGAAUUGACGGGGGCCCGCACAAGCGGCGGAGCAUGCGGAUUAAUUCGAUGCAACGCGAAGAACCUUACCAAGGGCUUGACAUGAACCUGGAAACGCUUGGAAACAAGUGCCCCGCUUGCGGCCGGUUUACAGGUGGUGCAUGGUUGUCGUCAGCUCGUGUCGUGAGAUGUUGGGUUAAGUCCCGCAACGAGCGCAACCCUCGUUCUAUGUUGCCAGCACGUGAUGGUGGGGACUCAUAGGAGACUGCCGGGGUCAACUCGGAGGAAGGUGAGGACGACGUCAAAUCAUCAUGCCCCUUAUGUCUUGGGCUUCACGCAUGCUACAAUGGCCGGUACAAUGGGUUGCGAUACUGUGAGGUGGAGCUAAUC
rnacentral:rRNA from 1 species